AUGGCAGGAACAAAUAAUAAUGAAGCAAUGAAAGAUUCACAACCUCGACAACAUUCAACAGAAGUACUUCACCAACGUAAGAAAGCGCCAUUUUGUCCAAUGAGAAUGGCCAUAGGAGGAUUUGCAGCAAUAUCUGUCUUAGGUUAUUUUGUUUUGUACGCUAAUAAGAAGCCUGAAGCAUCAGCUUUAGAUGUUGCUAAGGUUUCAACUGGAAUGGCUCAUCCAGAUAAUACUCAUCCUCGUAAUUAA